GGGAGGACUGUUCAUCCAUUUGCAACUCGAGUUUGGCUGUGAUUUACAUUUGAAGCAGAUAUUUUAAUCCCACAGUUGCGUAUCAGGACCAGACCUAGAAUCACUCCACAGUGCUCAAAUUGCCUCCCCAAGUGAAGCCAGGUCUCAGCAGCCAGCCUGACCACAGCCAGUGCCAGUGCCACCAGCUGCAGGGCAAUCAGGAAUUUAAACCAUGGAUUUGCUGCUGCCAAGGCAUUUGCCCACAUGGAGAAUGCGGGUUUGCUGCAGUGUUUUGGAGUUGUCUGGAAGGGAAGGGAGAAGCCCACAGAAUUAAAUCUGAUUCCCACGGGGCUGCUGCACAGC